CUGCUAUGGAAAAAGGCACCACCCACCCGAUCGGAAGUCAAUGUCUACUUGAUCUUUAUCAGGGUAAUAUGUGAUCUUCAGUCUUCUAAUGGUAUACACCCUUCCCUUACCAGAGGACCAGCAAGUUAUGGAGCUCUAUUUGUGUUGCGAUUUCUUUAUAGAAAAUAUGAUUUCAAGUCAGAUGAGGAGAGCCAAAUUGCGUACUUAACUUGAGCGAGCCAAUGAGUGAGUUGCCAUAAUUCUCAAAAUUAUGCUACAGAUGCAGUGAGAGAAGCCUUUUGUUAUGAAAGAUUCGUUCGAAGGUGACAAGUCAAAGAUUCUUAUGAUAUUAUGUGCAAGCCCGGAUCCAAAGGAAAUGCAUAAGACAAUAUCGACAUUGGAAUACGGUGCAAAAGCCAAAUGCAUUAUGCGUGGGC